rnacentral:rRNA from 1 species
CCUACGGGAGGCAGCAGUGGGGAAUUUUGGACAAUGGGCGAAAGCCUGAUCCAGCCAUUCCGCGUGAGUGAAGAAGGCCUUCGGGUUGUAAAGCUCUUUCGCAAGGGAAGAAAACUUAGAUACUAAUAUUAUCUGAGGUUGACGGUACCUUGAUAAGAAGCACCGGCUAACUACGUGCCAGCAGCCGCGGUAAUACGUAGGGUGCGAGCGUUAAUCGGAAUUACUGGGCGUAAAGCGUGCGCAGGCGGUUUUUGUAAGUCAGAUGUGAAAUCCCCGAGCUCAACUUGGGAACUGCGUUUGAAACUACAAGACUAGAAUAUGUCAGAGGGGGGUAGAAUUCCACGUGUAGCAGUGAAAUGCGUAGAGAUGUGGAGGAAUACCAAUGGCGAAGGCAGCCCCCUGGGAUAAUAUUGACGCUCAUGCACGAAAGCGUGGGGAGCAAACAGGAUUAGAUACCCUGGUAGUCCACGCCCUAAACGAUGUCUACUAGUUGUUGGUGGAGUAAAAUCCAUGAGUAACCGNAGCUAACGCGUGAAGUAGACCGCCGCGGGAGGUACGGUCGGUCGAAGAAGUUAAACGUUAACGUAAAGUUAAAGUUAGUAGGCGNGNGAGNGCGACGGACGACGACGAGGGAGGAGG